GACGAACGCUGGCGGCGUGCCUAACACAUGCAAGUCGAACGAAGAUUAUAUGGAAUGCGGCUUCGGCCAAAUGAAGUAUAAUCUUAGUGGCGGACGGGUGAGUAACGCGUGAGUAACCUGCCCUUCAGAGGGGGACAACAGUUGGAAACGACUGCUAAUACCGCAUAACGUAUUUUGAAGGCAUCUUCGAAAUACCAAAGGAGCAAUCCGCUGAAGGAUGGACUCGCGUCCGAUUAGAUAGUUGGUGGGGUAACGGCCUACCAAGUCGACGAUCGGUAGCCGGACUGAGAGGUUGAUCGGCCACAUUGGGACUGAGACACGGCCCAG
rnacentral:rRNA from 1 species